AACAAUCUCGCACGCCAAAGAGCCUACAUGCAACAUCUGCUCCUUGCCAAACGAACAGUUCGAGUCAGUCGCCAGUCGCCACAAGAGUUCCCGAAUAAUUCGGCAGUUAAUAGUGCAAGAAGCAGCUAAACAUCCUCAUAUUUGGGAUUUACAACACAGCAUUAUUUAAGUCCGUGUGCAUUGAAACCUCGAUGAAAGUUGCAAAACUGGAAAAUUAAUAGGCGGUUAAAGUGUGCUAAAAUAUUGUUAUCAAUAUUGUCUUUAGAAAAACUUUAUUUAAAUUUGAGCUGGUUGUGAGUUGAAUGAAUCAUUUCAUCGAUUGGGAAGGAAAUUAAGCAAAACGAGCUUUUUGGGACGAAUUCGAAUACCAAAAUUUGCUAAAACCCCGUUAAAUCAUUAACUUUUCACCAUUAGAAAGAUAUUAAAAUAAAAAUCGAUUGAUUGCCAGAGUCUGUGAGAUUUUCUUCCACUUUAAUUGUGUGUUCAGUGCGCAGCACUGAAAAUUCGAUAAAACCCACACAAGAAUUCGGAAAGGGAAAACGCGAACAACAGAGGCUCGUGUGAAUAAAUUCCACGGCGUGUGACUACCUACCUUUUAUAUAUAUACAUACGUACAUACCUACCCAUAUGAGUGGCGGCUGCUCGCCAAUGCACACAAGGAAAAGUCGCAUAUAGUAAUCUCAAAAAGGUACAACAACAACGACGGCGACAACAACGCAUUUGCAGCAGCUGUUACGGCAACUGCAACAAAAUACGAAUACGACAAAAGCCUAAGCAAGCUGGCGAUAGAAUUGUUCAUCAUAAGCAGACCAUUAUUAUUGGCACGAGAAGUCUGCUCGGACGGAUAUUGAAAAAUUCAUAGCAGACAAGAAUAAACCGAAAGGUCAAAUAAUUAAUAAAAAUAAAGACGUGCUCGUGCUUAAAGAAACUAUUGAAAUAAUUAUAGGACUACUUUCGUUUGAACGGGGUUUGGCCGGUGGAGGUGCUCCGGGGGGCAACACAAGGCGUAAUAUCCGCUCAAAUAAAGCGAGUUUAUAGUUGAGAAUUUGAAAAACUAAAUCGACGGAAAUGUACGAAAUUUGUGUAAUCAACAAUUAAAAAUAUAUCCGUUAUAUAAUUAUAAAUCUAAAUAUUAAAUAUUAUUU